GACGAACGCUGGCGGCGUGCUUAACACAUGCAAGUCGAACGGAAAGGCCCUGCUUUUGUGGGGUGCUCGAGUGGCGAACGGGUGAGUAACACGUGAGUAACCUGCCCUUGACUUUGGGAUAACUUCAGGAAACUGGGGCUAAUACCGGAUAGGAGCUCCUGCUGCAUGGUGGGGGUUGGAAAGUUUCGGCGGUUGGGGAUGGACUCGCGGCUUAUCAGCUUGUUGGUGGGGUAGUGGCUUACCAAGGCUUUGACGGGUAGCCGGCCUGAGAGGGUGACCGGCCACAUUGGGACUGGGAUACGGCCCAGACUCCUACGGGAGGCAGAAGUGGGGAAUAUUGCACAAUGGGCGGAGGCCUGAUGCAGCAACGCCGCGGGCGGGAUGACGGCCUUCGGGUUGUAAACCGCUUUCGCCUGUGACGAAGCGUGAGUGACGGUAAUGGGUAAAGAAGCACCGGCUAACUACGUG
rnacentral:rRNA from 1 species